UAACCAGCAGGUGCGGCUCUGUUCAUCCUCACUGCAGAAGAUGCGAAGCCCCUUGUGGCCAUUUCGAAGCUUGUUGGGCUAGAGGAAGAGGAACGUGCUGCUCCCAGAUCUGCCUCAAGAACCAGGACCUCACCUUGGAGGUGCCCUUGGUGGAGUAGUAGAGGCCAGACCGGCGCAGGAAACAGAAGAAGCGUUUCCAAAGCUUGCGUCCCGACCCCCGCAGCUGCAGGAAGCCCUGGAUCUCCGGGAAGCUGCCAGCAUUCAGGAAGUUCUGAGGCAAGAGAAGAUCAGAGAAAGGGUAAAGAAACUGACACUCAGGCAGGAAACCGACAGGUCUGCAGUGACAGCGCUGCACUGGGCUCCUUCUGCCACCGCAGAAGGCGCGAGGCCAAGAAGCAACGUGUGAUCCUGGAAACCCUCAAUAUGCCUGAACUGCAGGGGGUCCCCUCACCUGGAUAAAGUCUUCAUGGGAUAUGUCUGUGUGUGCAUCAAGACAGCUGGAGAUCAUCUUUUCUGGGAACAGGGAGUGCUGACAAAGGAAGGAGCCAGAAGUCAGGGACUGAGGGUGCAAGCUGAGAAUCAGGGUGUCCCAGGGCCCAGACUCCCUGCACCCCCACCACACAUACUCACUGGGGAGCUCUUGAAAAGUUCGUAUUUGGCGAAGUUUUUCCGGAAGACGAAGCGGCUGUCUCCACCAAUGGGCCAGGCAGCCUGCACUUCCACCACGGACUCAUGGUCCUCCAAGCCCCGCUCUGGGGUCAAGGACAAAAAGCAGGAGUCACUGGAGACCAGUCAGGCCUCCAGCUGAGCCACCUGUCUAAUUAAGAGGGAAAGAAUUGCCUCCUGGCCUGAGCUGCUCUCUGCACCCCAACUCACCUAAGGCUAGAUGGGGGUGACACUCCACCAGCCCCCAGUUCUCAUCACUCAGGGCGUGAGCUCGCUGCACCAGCAUUUCACACACGUAGCGAGCCGUGGCGCCCGCCGCCACCUCCACCGACCGGCAGGCCCCAUCUUCACUGUACACCUUUAUCACCUGCACCCCAGCAAAUACAGAUGUCACA